GGGUCCUGUUGUUGAUCAAACUCCAUUUGAGAUACAUAGGUUUUACUUUCUCUUACAAUAUGUUUCGCUCAUUUGUAUUGCGGUUCCUUUUGUUUUGUAUAGGGUUGAAUUGGUAUUCCUUUGAAUUUUCUUUUCUUUCUUUUUUUCAUUUUUGUAUCUCUUACAGCCGAUUUUGCCAUAACAGCAAUACAAGUCUUGGAAACUACUGAUGGGCCAUACUUUAAUGAAUGUUUAAAGAAAAUUUGUGUUCCACAUCAUGAUUUUUUAGAUUCUCAAAGGAAGAGAUCCGAUUUUUUACCUUGUAGAAAAGCAAUAAGUCAAAAAGGUUGUUGAAGAGUUUACAGAGUUGGUUUCCCUGACUCUGAUAUGAUGAAUUCAUUUACUGUCCUUGAUCCAAAUAGUUCAAGUCUUUCUGAAGCUGAUUUAACUGUCUUGGCAACUUGAUUACCAUUUUCAGUAUU
rnacentral:lncRNA from 1 species